rnacentral:rRNA from 1 species
AUUGAACGCUGGCGGCAUGCCUUACACAUGCAAGUCGAACGGCAGCACGGGAGCAAUCCUGGCGGCCAGUGGCGAACGGGCGAGUAAUAUAUCGGAACGUGCCCAGUAGUGGGGGAUAGCCCGGCGAAAGCCGGAUUAAUACCGCAUACGACCUGAGGGCGAAGGCGGGGGACCGCAAGACCUCGGGCUAUUGGAGCGGCCGGUGUCGGAUUCGCUUGUUGGGGAGGGAAAAGCCUACCAAGGCGACGAUCUGUAGCUGGUCUGAGAGGACGACCAGCCACACUGGGACUGAGACACGGCCCAGACUCCUACGGGAGGCAGCAGUGGGGAAUAUUGGACAAUGGGCGCAAGCCUGAUCCAGCCAUGCCGCGUGUGUGAAGAAGGCCCUAGGGUUGUAAAGCACUUUAAGUAGGGAGGAAGGUCUGGUAAUUAAUACUUAUCAGGAUUGACGUUACCUACAGAAUAAGCACCGGCUAACUCCGUGCCAGCAGCCGCGGUAA